rnacentral:rRNA from 1 species
UGGGGAAUCUUGCACAAUGGGGGAAACCCUGAUGCAGCGACGCCGCGUGAACGAUGAAGCCCUUCGGGGUGUAAAGUUCUUUCGACGGGGACGAUAAUGACGGUACCCGGAGAAGAAGCUGCGGCUAACUACGUGCCAGCAGCCGCGGUAAUACGUAGGCAGCAAGCGUUGUUCGGAAUUACUGGGCGUAAAGAGUGCGUAGGCGGUUGGCUAAGUUUGGUGUGAAAUCUCCCGGCUCAACUGGGAGGGUGCGCCGAAAACUGGCCGGCUAGAGUGUGGGAGAGGUAAGUGGAAUUCCUGGUGUAGCGGUGAAAUGCGUAGAUAUCAGGAGGAACACCUGCGGUGUAGACGGCUUACUGGACCAUGACUGACGCUGAGGCACGAAAGCGUGGGGAGCAAACA